UACGAAGGGGGCUAGCGUUGCUCGGAAUCACUGGGCGUAAAGGGUGCGUAGGCGGGUCUUUAAGUCAGGGGUGAAAUCCUGGAGCUCAACUCCAGAACUGCCUUUGAUACUGAAGAUCUUGAGUGCGGGAGAGGUGAGUGGAACUGCGAGUGUAGAGGUGAAAUUCGUAGAUAUUCGCAAGGAACACCAGUGGCGAAGGCGGCUCACUGGCCCGAUACUGACGCUGAGGCACGAAAGCGUGGG
rnacentral:rRNA from 1 species